UACGGAGGACCCGAGCGUUAUCCGGAUUCAUUGGGUUUAAAGGGUGCGUAGGCGGACCUGUAAGUCAGUGGUGAAAGCCCUUCGCUUAACGAAGGAACUGCCAUUGAUACUGCUGGUCUUGAGUACAGUUGAGGUGGGCGGAAUGUGUCGUGUAGCGGUGAAAUGCAUAGAUAUGACACAGAACACCGAUUGCGAAGGCAGCUCGCUAAACUGUAACUGACGCUGAGGCACGAAAGCGUGGGUAGCAAACAGG
rnacentral:rRNA from 1 species